rnacentral:rRNA from 1 species
GACGAACGCUGGCGGCGUGCUUAACACAUGCAAGUCGAACGGGAAGACAUGAAGAGCUUGCUCUUUAUGAAAUCCAGUGGCAAACGGGUGAGUAACACGUAAACAACCUGCCUUCAGGAUGGGGACAACAGACGGAAACGACUGCUAAUACCGAAUACGAUUCUUGAGUCGCAUGACACAAGAAAGAAAGGGUGGCCUCUACAAGUAAGCUAUCGCCUGAAGAGGGGUUUGCGUCCGAUUAGGUAGUUGGUGAGGUAACGGCCCACCAAGCCGACGAUCGGUAGCCGGUCUGAGAGGAUGAACGGCCACAUUGGAACUGAGACACGGUCCAGACUCCUACGGGAGGCAGCAGUGGGGAAUCUUCCGCAAUGGGCGAAAGCCUGACGGAGCAACGCCGCGUGAGUGAAGACGGCCUUCGGGUUGUAAAACUCUGUGAUUCGGGACGAAAGAUAAGUAGACGAAUAAUCUGCAUAAGUGAC